GAUGAACGCUGGCGGCGUGCCUAACACAUGCAAGUCGAACGGGGGUAUACUUUUGGAAGUGCCUGAUUCAUCAAGCACGGACAUGUGCAUACCCCAGUGGCGGACGGGUGAGUAACGCGUGGAUAACCUGCCUUACACAGGGGGAUAACACUUAGAAAUAGGUGCUAAUACCGCAUGAGCGCACGUGGCCUCCUGGCCCGGUGUGAAAAGUAGGACACUUACGUGUCCGUCGGUGUAAGAUGGGUCCGCGUCUGAUUAGCUAGUUGGUAAGGUAACGGCUUACCAAGGCGACGAUCAGUAGCCGGCCUGAGAGGGUGUACGGCCACAUUGGGACUGAGACACGGCCCAAACUCCUACGGGAGGCAGCAGUGGGGAAUAUUGCACAAUGGGGGGAACCCUGAUGCAGCGACGCCGCGUGAGUGAAGAAGUAUUUCGGUAUGUAAAGCUCUAUCAGCAGGGAAGAAACAGGACGGUACCUGCAUAAGAAGCCCCGGCUAACUACGUGCCAGCAGCCGCGGUAAUACGUAGGGGGCAAGCGUUAUCCGGAUUUACUGGGUGUAAAGGGAGCGUAGACGGCAUGAUAAGUCCGUGGUGAAAACCGGGUGCUCAACACCCGGCCUGCCAUGGAAACUUUCAUGCUUGAGUGCAGGAGAGGUAAGUGGAAUUCCUAGUGUAGCGGUGAAAUGCGUAGAUAUUAGGAGGAACACCAGCGGCGAAGGCGGCUUACUGGACUGUAACUGACGUUGAGGCUCGAAAGCGUGG
rnacentral:rRNA from 1 species